UACAGAGGAUGCAAGCGUUAUCCGGAAUGAUUGGGCGUAAAGCGUCUGUAGGUGGCUUUUUUAAGUCCGCCGUCAAAUCCCAGGGCUCAACUCUGGACAGGCGGUGGAAACUACCAAGCUGGAGUACGGUAGGGCAGAGGGAAUUUCCGGUGGAGCGGUGAAAUGCGUAGAGAUCGGAAGAACACCAACGGCGAAAGCACUCUGCUGGGCCGACACUGACACUGAGAGACGAAGCUAGGGAGCGAAUGGG
rnacentral:rRNA from 1 species